rnacentral:rRNA from 1 species
GAUGAACGCUGACAGAAUGCUUAACACAUGCAAGUCAACUUGAACUUCGGUUUGGGUGGCGGACGGGUGAGUAACGCGUAAAGAACUUGCCUCACAGCUAGGGACAACAUUUGGAAACGAAUGCUAAUACCUGAUAUUAUGAUUUUAGGGCAUCCUAGAAUUAUGAAAGCUAUAUGCGCUGUGAGAGAGCUUUGCGUCCCAUUAGCUAGUUGGAGAGGUAACGGCUCACCAAGGCGAUGAUGGGUAGCCGGCCUGAGAGGGUGAACGGCCACAAGGGGACUGAGACACGGCCCUUACUCCUACGGGAGGCAGCAGUGGGGAAUAUUGGACAAUGGACCAAGAGUCUGAUCCAACAAUUCUGUGUGCACGAUGAAGUUUUUCGGAAUGUAAAGUGCUUUCAGUUGGGAAGAAAAAAAUGACGGUACCAACAGAAGAAGUGACGGCUAAAUACGUG